GCCGGGGUAGCUCAAUGGCAGAGCGAGGGUCUCAUAAUCCCUAGGUUGCGGGUUCGAUUCCCGCCCCCGGCACCA
rnacentral:tRNA from 1 species